rnacentral:rRNA from 1 species
UAAAAGUCGUAACAAGGUCUCCGUUGGUGAACCAGCGGAGGGAUCAUUAUUAGAAGCCGAAAGGCUACUUAAAACCAUCGCGAACUCGUCCAAGUUGCUUCGGCGGCGCGGCCUCCCUCACGGGGGCGCCGCAGCCCCGCCUCUCCGGAGGUGUGGGGCGCCCGCCGGAGGUACGAAACUCUGUAUUAUAGUGGCAUCUCUGAGUAAAAAACAAAUAAGUUAAAACUUUCAACAACGGAUCUCUUGGUUCUGGCAUCGAUGAAGAACGCAGCGAAAUGCGAUAAGUAAUGUGAAUUGCAGAAUUCAGUGAAUCAUCGAAUCUUUGAACGCACAUUGCGCCCGCUAGUACUCUAGCGGGCAUGCCUGUUCGAGCGUCAUUUCAACCCUCAAGCCCUGCUUGGUGUUGGGGCCCUACGGCUGCCGUAGGCCCUGAAAGGAAGUGGCGGGCUCGCUACAACUCCGAGCGUAGUAGUUCAUUAUCUCGCUAGGGACGUUGCGGCGCGCUCCUGCCGUUAAAGACCAUCUUUAACUCAAGGUUGACCUCGGAUCAGGUAGGAAUACCCGCUGAACUUAA